rnacentral:rRNA from 1 species
UACCUACGGGAGGCAGCAGUAGGGAAUCUUCCACAAUGGGCGAAAGCCUGAUGGAGCAACGCCGCGUGGGUGAAGAAGGUCUUCGGAUCGUAAAGCUCUGUUGUAAGUCAAGAACGGGUGUGAGAGUGGAAAGUUCACACUGUAACGGUAGCUUACCAGAAAGGGACGGCUAACUACGUGCCAGCAGCCGCGGUAAUACGUAGGUCCCGAGCGUUGUCCGGAUUUAUUGGGCGUAAAGCGAGCGCAGGCGGUUUGAUAAGUCUGAAGUUAAAGGCUGUGGCGCAACCAUAGUUCGCUCUGGAAAC